rnacentral:rRNA from 1 species
UGGGGAAUAUUGGACAAUGGGGGGAACCCUGAUCCAGCCAUGCUGCGUGUGUGAAGAAGGCCUUUUGGUUGUAAAGCACUUUAAGCGAGGAGGAGGCUACCGAGAUUAAUACUCUUGGAUAGUGGACGUUACUCGCAGAAUAAGCACCGGCUAACUCUGUGCCAGCAGCCGCGGUAAUACAGAGGGUGCAAGCGUUAAUCGGAUUUACUGGGCGUAAAGCGCGCGUAGGUGGCCAAUUAAGUCAAAUGUGAAAUCCCCGAGCUUAACUUGGGAAUUGCAUUCGAUACUGGUUGGCUAGAGUAUGGGAGAGGAUGGUAGAAUUCCAGGUGUAGCGGUGAAAUGCGUAGAGAUCUGGAGGAAUACCGAUGGCGAAGGCAGCCAUCUGGCCUAAUACUGACACUGAGGUGCGAAAGCAUGGGGAGCAAACAGG